rnacentral:rRNA from 1 species
UAGGGAAUAUUAGAAAUGGACGAAAGUCUGAUCUAGCGACACCGCGUGUGCGAAGAAGGCCUUCGGGUUGUAAAGCACUUUUUGAGAGGAUGAGGAAGGACGGUACUCUCAGAAUAAGUCUCGGCUAACUACGUGCCAGCAGCCGCGGUAACACGUAGGAGGCAAACGUUAUCCGGAUUUACUGGGCGUAAAGCGCGUGUAGGUGGUUUGGUAAGUAGAGCGUGAAAGCUCCUGGCUCAACUGGGAGAGGUCGUUCUAAACUGCCGGACUAGAGGGUGGUAGAGGGAGGUGGAAUUCCGGGUGUAACGGUGGAAUGCGCAGAUAUCCGGAGGAACACUAGUGGCGAAAGCGGCCUCCUGGACCACUCCUGACACUCAGACGCGAAAGCUAGGGUAGCAAACG